AAAGUCGUAACAAGGUAACCGUAGGUGAACCUGCGGUUGGAUCAUUGAUUUAUUCAGAGUAUCCUGUAACCUGUGAAAAAUCUGCUAAGCGUCCCUCAUUGUUAGGUCGCUUAGUAUUCGUCACUGUCAAAGAGUUCUGCGACAUACUGAACCAAUAUGUGAAUUAAACCGUAACCAAUUUCUUUAAACCUAACAAAAUUACAACUUCUGACAAUGGAUCUCUUGAGUCCU
rnacentral:misc_RNA from 1 species